rnacentral:rRNA from 1 species
GCUUGCUGCAUGCUUUAUACAUGCAAGUCGAACGGAGGCCCUAGCUUGCUAGGUGUCCUUAGUGGCGCACGGGUGAGUAACACGUGGGAACAUACCUUAUAGUACGGAAUAACUGCGGGAAACUGUAGCUAAUACCGUAUAUUCCAGUAAUGGGAAAGAUUUAUCGCUAUAAGAUUGGCCCGCGCAAGAUUAGCUUGUUGGUGAGGUAAAAGCUCACCAAGGCUUCGAUCUUUAGCUGGUUUGAGAGGACGAUCAGCCACACUGGGACUGAGACACGGCCCAGACUCCUACGGGAGGCAGCAGUAGGGAAUAUUGGACAAUGGGGGCAACCCUGAUCCAGCAAUGCAGCGUGAGUGACGAAGGCCUUAGGGUUGUAAAACUCUUUCAUCGGUGAGGAUAAUGACAGUAGCCGAAGAAGAAGGACCGGCUAAUUCCGUGCCAGCAGCCGCGGUAAUACGGAAGGUCCUAGCGUUGUUCGGAAUUACUGGGCGUAAAGCGCAUGUAGGCGGAACAGAAAGUUAGAAGUGAAAUCCCUGGGCUCAACCUAGGAAUUGCUUUUAAAACUUCUGUUCUGGAAUUCAGGAGAGGAAAAUGGAAUUUCCAGUGUAGAGGUGAAAUUCGUAGAUAUUGGAAGGAACACCAGUGGCGAAGGCGAUUUUCUGGACUGAUAUUGACGCUGAGAUGCGAAGGCAUGGGUAGCAAACGGGAUUAGAUACCCCGGUAGUCCAUGCAGUAAACGAUGGGUGCUAGUCGUCGGACUUUUGUUCGGUGUCGUAGCUAACGCGUUAAGCACCCCGCCUGGGGAGUACGGUC